rnacentral:lncRNA from 1 species
AUCGCCACACCAACUUCCACAAUGGUUGAACUAGUUUACAGUCCCACCAACAGUGUAAAAGUGUUCCUAUUUCUCCACAUCCUCUCCAGCACCUGUUGUUUUCUGACUUUUUAAUGAUUGCCAUUCUAACUGGUGUGAGAUGGUAUCUCAUUGUGGUUUUGAUUUGCAUUUCUCUGAUGGCCAGUGAUGAUGAGCAUUUUUUCAUGUGAUUUUGGCUGCAUAAAUGUCUUCUUUUGACAAGUGUCUGUUCAUAUCCUUCGCCCACUUUUUGAUGGGGUUGUUUGUUUUUUUCUUGUAAAUUUGUUUGAGUUCAUUGUAGAUUCUGGAUAUUAGCCCUUUGUCAGAUGAGUAGGUUGCAAAAAUUUUCUCCCAUUCUGUAGGUUGCCUGUUCACUCUGAUGGUGGUUUCUUUUGCUGUGCAGAAGCUCUUUAGUUUAAUUAGAUCCCAUUUGUCAAUUUCGGCUUUUGUUGACAUUGCUUUUGGUGUUUUAGACAUGAAAUCCUUGCCCAUGCCUAUGUCCUGAAUGGUAUUGCCUAGGUUUUCUUCUAGGGUUUUUAUGGUUUUAGGUCUAACAUGUAAGUCUUUAAUCCAUCUUGAAUUAAUUUUUGUAUAAGGUGUAAGGAAGGGAUCCAGUUUCAGCUUUCUACAUAUGGCUAGCCAGUUUUCCCAGCACCAUUUAUUAAAUAGGGAAUCCUUUCCCCAUUGCUUGUUUUUGUCAGGUUUGUCAAAGAUCAGAUAGUUGUAGAUAUGCGGGAUUAUUUCUGAGGGCUCUGUUCUGUUCCAUUGGUCUAUAUCUAUCUCCGUUUUGGUACCAGUACCAUGCUGUUUUGGUUACUGUAGCCUUGUAGGAUAGUUUGAAGUCAGGUAGCGUGAUGCCUCUGGCUUUGUUCUUUUGGCUUAGGAUUGACUUGGCAAUGUGGGCUCUUUUUUGGUUCCAUAUGAACUUUAAAGUAGUUUUUUCCAAUUUUGUGAAGAAAGUCAUUGGUAGCUUGAUGGGGAUGGCAUUGAAUCUAUAAAUUACCUUGGGCAAUAUGGCCAUUUUCACAAUGUUGAUUCUUCCUACCCAUGAGCAUGGAAUGUUCUUCCAUUUCUUUGUGUCCUCUUUUAUUUCAUUGAGCAGUGGUUUGUAGUUCUCCUUGAAGAGGUCCUUCACAUCCCUUGUAAGUUGGAUUCCUAGGUAUUUUAUUCUCUUUGAAGCAAUUGUGAAUGGGAGUUCACUCAUGAUUUGGCUCUCUGUUUGUCUGUUAUUGGUGUAUAUAAGAAUGCUUGUGAUGUUUGCACAUUGAUUUUGUAUCUUGAGACUUUG